rnacentral:pre_miRNA from 1 species
CAUGCACCAGCGGGGUCCCUUGGCCUGGCCUGUGCCCUUUUGCAAUCUGGGACCCCUUGGGGGAUGUCAGAGAGCCGGUUUCAGCCCGAUCCCACAGGCCAGGCCGAGGGACUCCACUGGUGCAUG